rnacentral:rRNA from 1 species
UACGUAGGGUGCAAGCGUUAAUCGGAAUUACUGGGCGUAAAGCGUGCGCAGGCGGUCUUGCAAGUCAGAUGUGAAAUCCCCGGGCUUAACCUGGGAACUGCAUUUGUGACUGCAAGGCUGGAGUGCGGCAGAGGGGGAUGGAAUUCCACGUGUAGCAGUGAAAUGCGUAGAGAUGUGGAGGAACACCGAUGGCGAAGGCAGCCCCCUGGGUCAAGAUUGACGCUCAUGCACGAAAGCGUGGGGAGCAAACAGG